GCGCUUUUGGACGCAGCAUUCACUCACCCACACGCGUGUGCUGACUCCAAUUCUUGCUUCCAAAUGAAGCAAGCCACCUCCACCAUUUACCUGCUCUUUUUAGCAAUGUUGUUUUCCAGCCAAGUUUUUGCGUUUAAAUCAUCCCCGUCGAUUUUCAGGCAUGCCACGGCCGGGAUGCAGAGGAGAGGCCAUA
rnacentral:ribozyme from 1 species